AGAGUUUGAUCCUGGCUCAGGAUGAACGCUAGCGGCAGGCUUAACACAUGCAAGUCGAGGGGUAGAGGUUGCUUGCAACCUUGAGACCGGCGCACGGGUGCGUAACGCGUAUGCAACCUACCUUUUACAGAGGGAUAGCCCAGAGAAAUUUGGAUUAAUACCUCAUAGUAUAUAUCUUUCGCAUGUUAGGUAUAUUAAAGUUCCAACGGUAAAAGAUGGGCAUGCGUCCUAUUAGCUAGAUGGUAGGGUAACGGCUUACCAUGGCUACGAUAGGUAGGGGUCCUGAGAGGGAGAUCCCCCACACUGGUACUGAGACACGGACCAGACUCCUACGGGAGGCAGCAGUGAGGAAUAUUGGACAAUGGGCGCAAGCCUGAUCCAGCCAUGCCGCGUGCAGGAAGAAGCAUCUAUGGUGUGUAAACUGCUUUUGUACAGGAAGAAACAUCCCGACGUGUCGGGACUUGACGGUACUGUAAGAAUAAGGAUCGGCUAACUCCGUGCCAGCAGCCGCGGUAAUACGGAGGAUCCAAGCGUUAUCCGGAAUCAUUGGGUUUAAAGGGUCCGUAGGCGGUUUGGUAAGUCAGUGGUGAAAGCCCGCAGCUCAACUGUGGAACGGCCAUUGAUACUGCCAGACUUGAAUUACAAGGAAGUAACUAGAAUAUGUAGUGUAGCGGUGAAAUGCUUAGAUAUUACAUGGAAUACCAAUUGCGAAGGCAGGUUACUACUUGUGGAUUGACGCUGAUGGACGAAAGCGUGGGGAGCGAACAGGAUUAGAUACCCCGGUAGUCCAA
rnacentral:rRNA from 1 species